CUCAUUUUUUACACGUACAUUUUGGCCUAAAGGCCGAUUUACACUAGACAACUUUUGCCUAAAGCCUGGCGCACACGAUGCGAUUUUAGUCGGCCGAUAAAAAUCGUUUGACAUACCGAUAUACAUCGGUAUACUCCGCACACGAUUACGAAAAAAAUAUGCUCCCUGAACUGUAGCCGCCAUGUUGCCAAAUAAAUACAAGCACGUGAUCACAGCAUGAAAUCUGAUUGGUUAUACUUAAAAUUCCACCGA